UCGGGAAUAUUGCGCAAUGGGGGAAACCCUGACGCAGCGACGCCGCGUAGAGGAAGAAGGUUUUCGGAUUGUAAACUCUUGUCGACAGGGAAGAAAAUGACAGUACCUGUGGAGGAAGCCCCGGCUAACUACGUGCCAGCAGCCGCGGUAAUACGUAGGGGGCAAGCGUUAUCCGGAUUUACUGGGUGUAAAGAGCGCGUAGGCGGGAAGGCAAGUCAGAUGUGAAAACUAUAGGCUCAACCUGUAGAAUGCAUCUGAAACUGUUUUUCUUGAGUGCGGGAGAGGAAAGUGGAAUUCCUAGUGUAGCGGUGAAAUGCAUAGAUAUUAGGAGGAACACCAGUGGCGAAGGCGGCUUUCUGGACCGUAACUGACGCUGAGGCGCGAAAGUGUGGGGAGCAAACA
rnacentral:rRNA from 1 species